rnacentral:rRNA from 1 species
UACGGGGGGGGCAAGCGUUGUUCGGAAUUACUGGGCGUAAAGGGCUCGUAGGCGGCCAACUAAGUCAGACGUGAAAUCCCUCGGCUUAACCGGGGAACUGCGUCUGAUACUGGAUGGCUUGAGUGUGGAAGAGGGAUGCGGAAUUCCAGGUGUAGCGGUGAAAUGCGUAGAUAUCUGGAGGAACACCGGUGGCGAAGGCGGCAUCCUGGACCAUUACUGACGCUGAUGAGCGAAAGCCAGGGGAGCAAACGGG